GACGAACGCUGGCGGCGUGCUUAACACAUGCAAGUCGAACGGAAAGGCCCCUUUGGGGGUACUCGAGUGGCGAACGGGUGAGUAACACGUGAGUAACCUGCCCUUGACUUCGGGAUAACUUCAGGAAACUGGGGCUAAUACCGGAUAGGAAUCCUUGCUGCAUGGUGGGGGUUGGAAAGCUUCGGCGGUUUUGGAUGGACUCGCGGCUUAUCAGCUUGUUGGUGGGGUAGUGGCUUACCAAGGCUUUGACGGGUAGCCGGCCUGAGAGGGCGACCGGCCACAUUGGGACUGAGAUACGGCCCAGACUCCUACGGGGGGCAGGAGUGGGGAAUAUUGCACAAUGGGCGGAAGCCUGAUGCAGCAACGCCGCGGGCGGGAUGACGGCCUUCGGGUUGUAAACCGCUUUCAGCAGGGGCGAAGCUUGUGGUGACGGUACCUGCAGAAGAAGCACCGGCUAACUACGUG
rnacentral:rRNA from 1 species